rnacentral:lncRNA from 1 species
CAAACAUCAAUGUACAGUAAAACACUCAACUGACAUUCUAGGCAGUCUUUUGAUGUCAUCCUAGGUUGUCAUUGAAGUUUUAGCUAUAAAAUAAUUCAAAGUUGAAGAUUGCUGUCAUCUAUGUGACAUCUAUGUGACAUUAGGUUCAUCCUAAUGGUCUCACUUCUUCCCUCUUGCUUUUAAUGGAUCCUAAUGUUUUUGUAAAGAUGUGGAAACAUGAACAAAGUCAAGACAUGAGCAAGAUGUAUAUUGUGCCUGUGUAUCACAACCAUACACAAGAUACUUUCCUGCUCCUUUCUUGUAGCCAUUCCUGAAUAUUCUCUUUUGGGUCCUCUUAGAUCAGAACAGAUGACUGGCGUGUGUACAGAGGAGAGAAGGGUCCUGUAGCAGAAGACUGGGCAGUAGGAAGCUUAACAUGGUUCACCGUGAGAAAUGUCAACACCAGGAAAAUGGAUUGAAACUUACAUCUGUAAUCAAUAUGGCCUGAUAGCAGAUGCUCAGGACCUAUGCAAUCCUUCCAAGGAGAUCUAUGGCUUAAAGUUCACUAUUGUCUCAACUCAUUAAAGUAUUAUAUGUAUGAUUAAAAUACACCUCAGAUUUUAUUUUUCUUUCUUUUGUCUUUUUUUUUUGGGUCUAGGAUAUUAAAUAAUCUUCAAUAAGAAGUGACACAAAUUUUAUUCAUCCUCAAAAUAAAAUAAGAAAUAAUCUCUAAGAGUGGUUCUGUUGGUUAAGCGUCUGCCUUUGGCUCAGGUCAUGAUCCCAGGGUUCUGGGAUAGAGCUCCAUGUCAGGCUUUCUGCUCAGCAAAGAGCCGGUUUCUCCCUCUCCAUCUGCCUGCCACUCCCCCAGCUUGUGCUCUCUCUCCUUCUCUCUCUGUCAACUAAAUAAAUAAAAUAUUUUUUUAAAAAUACUAUUUAAAAAUACAUUUAAAGACUUAGACGUUAUAAAGCAUUUUAUUUGUACUAUUCACAUGAGAAUGUAUUAAAAUAUUUCAAAAAAUUACUUGCACUCAAUGCAGUUAAACUUUUCUUAAUUAAAACUUAACUUUUAAGAGCAAUUUUAGGUUCACAGCAAAAUUGAGGGCAAGGUGCAAAGAUAUCCCGUAUACUUUCUGUCUUCACACAUGCAUAGCCCCUCCCGUUACCAACAUCCCCCACCAGCGUACAUUUGCUGCAACUGAUGAAUGUACACUGACACAUCAUCAUCACCUAAAGUCCACGGUUUAAAUUACAGUUCACUUUUGGUGUUGCACUUUCCAUGUUUUUUUUUUUUUUAAGAUUUUAUUUAUUUAUUCAAGAGAGACAGAGAGAGAGAGAGAGAAAGAGAGAGACAGAGACAGAGAUACAGGCAGAGGGAGAAGCAGGCUCCAUGCAGGGAGCCUGACAUGAGACUUGAUCCUGGUUCUCCAGGAUCAGGCCCUGGGCUGAAGGUGGUGCUAAACUGCUGAGCUCCCCCUCCGGGCUGUC